CCUACGGGUGGCAGCAGUGAGGAAUAUUGGUCAAUGGACGUGAGCCUGAACCAGCCAAGUAGCGUGAAGGAUGACUGUUCUAUGGGUCGUAAACUUCUUUUAUAUGGGAAUAAAAUAGGGGAUGUAUACCGUCUUGUAUGUACCUUAUGAAUAAGGAUCGGCUAACUCCGUGCCAGCAGCCGCGGUAAUACGGAGGAUCCGAGCGUUAUCCGGAUUUAUUGGGGUUAAAGGGAGCGUAGGUGGAGUGUUAAGUCAGUUGUGAACGUUUGCGGCUCAACCGUAGAAUUGCAGUUGAAACUGGCAGUGUUGAGUAUAGUAGAGGUGGGCGGAAUUCGUGGUGUAGCGGUGAAAUGCUU
rnacentral:rRNA from 1 species